rnacentral:lncRNA from 1 species
AUUAACAAAUUGUAAAGAAACUAAGGUUUCAACUCCUUCAAUCAAAGUUGGUCUCAGAUGAAUGUUGGCUAUUUAUUACGUCUUUCUUAGUUAUAUAACUGUUCAACUAUUCAUCCUUGACUUCAAAUAUUAGGCUUUAAGAGUUCCUGGUAAAGGUUAAUCCAGAAAAACGCCUAAGAUAUAUGAAGUUAUUUGAUUUGAACAUGGAUAAACUACUGCCGCCUAAGUUUAUUAUAUA